GCUCCCCAGGAGGGGCUGCCCCCCUUGCCCACCAUCACCCCGGCCCGCUCGCGCCCCCACCCCCGGGGGCACCAGUGCCAACGGCAGCUCCCCCAGCCCCGGACCUACCUGCACGGCUCAACCAAGCCUAGAAGUGGGGGCGGGGAACCUUCCGCCCUCCUCUGUCUCUCAUUGGCCCUCGCAGGGCUCAUCGUGGGCGCCAUUGGCUGGCAGCGAGUGUCCGUCAGGGCGGCGGGGCGGGACAGAGGAGGAGAGGGAUGCUGGUGCCUCUGCGUCUCUAUCUCUGUGUAUCUCGCUGUCUCUGUCUCUGUCUGGGCCCUUGGAAAUGGGAGGCUUUGGGACGGGAGAACUGGAAGGGGGCCUGCGGGGGGGAAUAGGAGUAGGGAUCCUGGCCGUGCUCCACACCAGCAGGCCGAUCCAAACCCCUGCCAAGUCCUUGGGUCCCGUUCCCCAUCACCCCCAACCCCUGCCCCCUCACCCUUCCAGGUUCUUCAUCCAGGAAGCGACGCGAUGAGAACUCGAGGCCGGAAGGCCACAGGGGGAGAUUCUGUACGUGUAUAUAAAAUGCACACAUGCAAAUAUUUUUACAGAGAAAGUCCAGCAGAUAGAAGAUCAGGAGGGCCUAGGAGGAAAGGGCGCACGUCUGACAGACAAGGAAAGACUCAAGAUGUAGCUGAUACUGUUUCCAGAUACCAGGGGUGAAACCCCGCGGAGGUGUCCAGAGGCAGCUGGAAUCUUGGGACUUCAGAGUAGGUGGACAGUCUAGACUCGAGGGGCACAGCGUUUACAACCUAAAUGGAGUGGUCUAGGACAUGCUAGAGGACAAAUUCUCCCCAAAAAUGUUAACGAGCACCCACAUUUAAAGUUAAGAGGAUGAAAAAGGAACAGAAUAGUAAAGCUCCAUGAAAAUUAAAGGAGCAAAGGUCUCUGGUAAAACAAUAAAGCUAUAGGAGCAAUGCAGCUCUUUUUUUUCUUUUUUUUUGCAACACAGGUCUUAGGGUUCACUUACGGGACUCUCCUUGGGCUCUGGUAAUCAUGUGACAACGAGUAUGGAAAUCCAG
rnacentral:lncRNA from 1 species